CCAGAGAACUUUCCAGAGAUGGAUUGGUGCCUUCGGGGAACUCUGAGACAGGUGCUGCAUGGCUGUCGUCAGCUCGUGUUGUGAAAUGUUGGGUUAAGUCCCGCAACGAGCGCAACCCUUAUCCUUUGUUGCCAGCGGUUAGGCCGGGAACUCAAAGGAGACUGCCAGUGAUAAACUGGAGGAAGGUGGGGAUGACGUCAAGUCAUCAUGGCCCUUACGAGUAGGGCUACACACGUGCUACAAUGGCGCAUACAAAGAGAAGCGACCUCGCGAGAGCAAGCGGACCUCAUAAAGUGCGUCGUAGUCCGGAUUGGAGUCUGCAACUCGACUCCAUGAAGUCGGAAUCGCUAGUAAUCGUGGAUCAGAAUGCCACGGUGAAUACGUUCCCGGGCCUUGUACACACCGCCCGUCACACCAUGGGAGUGGGUUGCAAAAGAAGUAGGUAGCUUAACCUUCGGGAGGGCGCUUACCACUUUGUGAUUCAUGACUGGGGUGAAGUCGUAACAAGGUAGGCGUAGUGCU
rnacentral:rRNA from 1 species